UGGUGGGUUAGGUGUAAAAAAAAAAUUAGUAUUUUUAAUGAGGCUUUGUUGGGAAAGUGGAGGUGGAUCUUUUCCACCAUGAGGAGGCUUUGUGGGCUAGAGUGUUAGAAUCAAAAUAUGGGGGUGGAAAGGUUUUUUGAGGGAGAAUGAUCAUUAUUGGGUGUCCUAGUGGUGGAAGGUUAUAAAGAGUGUGCGUGGGAGUCAUAGUGGUGAGGGAUGGUUUGACAAAGGUUGAGUGGAAGGUGGGUGUUGGGGGAAAAAACAAGGUUUUGGACCGAUGAUUGGGUAGACAGACAAAGCUUGACAUCUUUGUUCCUUAGGCUUUUUCUCUUGUCGGUUAACAAAGAGGCCAUGGUGAGGGAUAUGAGAAGGUGGAGUCAUGAGGGCUGGUUGUGGGAGAUCGCUUGGCGUAGAGAGAAGGUUUUGAAUGGGAAAACUAUCUCAUUCAACAACUCUUUCUUUUGCUGAACAGUGUGAUCAUUCAUCACUCUUUGGCUGAUUCUUGGGUGUGGGAACCUUGUCCCACGGGGAGAUACACAUCCAAAUCAGCAUAUUUGCUACUUUCUUGUGACUCUCCCUUGCAGUAUUCAACAAAUAUUUUUGUUGUGUUGUGGAGACUAAAGAUUCCACAUAAAACAUCAUUCCUCAUUUGGAAGAUUUUGAGGAAUCGUUUACCGACUAAAGAUAAUUUGUGCAAGCAAAACAUUUUGAAUUGAAGUGAGACGUUUUGUCCUUUUUUGUCUUCUUGAGGAGGAAUCAACCCAACAUUUAUUCUCUUCUUGUAUGGUGGUUAAUUUAAUUUGGAAGGAGGUUUAUUCAUGGAAGUAACUUGACUUUGCUACGGUCCUACCAAAUUCUAUUGAGGCACUCUUUCGACAAAAUAGUGGCAUGGGGAUAUCGAAAAUGUAGUCAGAUCUUUGGAGUCCAUGCAGCACAAACAAGCAGUUGAACCAAGGAAGACAGUGCGGCUGAACCAGGGUGUAGGGUGGCGGAGCAUGGCUCAGAACAGGGAACCAAGCUUUUCAUUUAUGUUUUUUUAUUUAAGAAACUGUUUUAUUGGAUUUUGAAGAUAUUAUCAAUGUAUAUUUUUAUCUUGAUCAAUGUAAUUUACAUUGGACUAUUAUUUGAAAUUGAUUGAAUUGAACAGAGUUUAGAAAUAGAUUGUUCCAAAA